rnacentral:rRNA from 1 species
CCUACGGGAGGCAGCAGUGAGGAAUAUUGGUCAAUGGGCGAGAGCCUGAACCAGCCAAGUCGCGUGAGGGAGUACUGCCCUAUGGGUUGUAAACCUCUUUUGUCGGGGAGCAAAAGCCGGACGUGUCCGGCUGUGAGAGUACCCGAAGAAAAAACAUCGGCUAACUCCGUGCCAGCAGCCGCGGUAAACCGUAGGAUUCUAGCGUUAUCCGGAUUUAUUGGGUUUAAAGGGUGCGUAGGCGGAUUUUUAAGUCAGCGGUAAAAUGUCCGGGCUCAACCCGGGCCGGCCGUUGAAACUGGGGAUCGUGAGUGGGCGAGAAGUAUGCGGAAUGCGUGGUGUAGCGGUGAAAUGCAUAGAUAUCAGGAGGAACACCAGUGGCGAAGGCGGCCUGCUGGACUGCAACUGACGUUGAGGCCCGAAUGCGUGGGGAGCAAACAGGAUUAGAUACCCGGGUAGUC